UACGGAGGGGGUUAGCGUUGUUCGGAAUUACUGGGCGUAAAGGGCGCGUAGGCGGCAAAUCAAGUUAGGCGUGAAAUCCCUGGGCUUAACCCAGGAACUGCGUCUAAUACUGGUUAGCUAGAGAUUGGUAGAGGAAAGUGGAAUUCCUGGUGUAGAGGUGAAAUUCGUAGAUAUUAGGAAGAACACCAGAGGCGAAGGCGACUUUCUGGGCCAAUACUGACGCUGAGGCGCGAAAGCGUGGGGAGCAAACAGG
rnacentral:rRNA from 1 species